rnacentral:snRNA from 1 species
GUGCCUGUUUUGGCAGCAUAUAUACAAAAAUUGGACUCAAACAUAGAAAAUUAAUGUGACCCCUGUGCAAGGAUGACAUACAAAUUCUUGAAGGACUCUAUAUUUUU